GCCUGGGUGGCUCAGUUGGUUAAGCGUCUGACUCUUGAUGUUGACUCAGGUCCUGAUCUCAUGGUUUCGUGAGUUCAAGUCCCACAUCAGGCU
rnacentral:tRNA from 1 species